rnacentral:rRNA from 1 species
UGUUGAGGAAGAUAAUGACGGUACUCAACAAGGAAGUGACGGCUAACUACGUGCCAGCAGCCGCGGUAAAACGUAGGUCACAAGCGUUGUCCGGAAUUACUGGGUGUAAAGGGAGCGCAGGCGGGAAGGCAAGUUGGAAGUGAAAUCCAUGGGCUCAACCCAUGAACUGCUUUCAAAACUGUUUUUCUUGAGUAGUGCAGAGGUAGGCGGAAUUCCCGGUGUAGCGGUGGAAUGCGUAGAUAUCGGGAGGAACACCAGUGGCGAAGGCGGCCUACUGGGCACCAACUGACGCUGAGGCUCGAAAGUGUGGGUAGCAAACAGGAUUAGAUACCCUGGUAGUCCACACUGUAAACGAUGAUUACUAGGUGUUGGAGGAUUGACCCCUUCAGUGCCGCAGUUAACACAAUAAGUAAUCCACCUGGGGAGUACGACCGCAAGGUUGAAACUCAAAGGAAUUGACGGGGGCCCGCACAAGCAGUGGAGUAUGUGGUUUAAUUCGACGCAACGCGAAGAACCUUACCAAGUCUUGACAUCCUGCGACGCWSMURGAAACAUGAGUUUCCUUCGGGACGCAGAGACAGGUGGUGCAUGGUUGUCGUCAGCUCGUGUCGUGAGAUGUUGGGUUAAGUCCCGCAACGAGCGCAACCCUUAUGGUCAGUUACUACGCAAGAGGACUCUGGCCAGA